rnacentral:rRNA from 1 species
CCUACGGGCGGCAGCAGUGAGGAAUAUUGGUCAAUGGGCGAGAUCCUGAACCAGCCAAGCCGCGUGCGGGAAGACGGCCCUACGGGUUGUAAACCGCUUUUGUCGGAGAAUAAAACCCGGGACGUGUACCGCACUGCGUGUACCCGAAGAAAAAGCAUCGGCUAACUCCGUGCCAGCAGCCGCGGUAAUACGGAGGGUGCGAGCGUUAUCCGGGUUUACUGGGGUUAAAGGGAGCGUAGGCGGGUCGUUAAGCGCGCGGGUAAAUUUGCGGGGUCAACCCCGGCCGGGCCGUGGGAACUGGCGGACUUGAGUUGGCGGAAAGCACGCGGAAUGCGUGGUGUAGCGGUGAAAUGCAUAGAUAUGGCGCAGAACCCCGAUUGCGAAGGCAGCGUGCCGGCGCCGAACUGACGCUGAGGCACGAAAGCGUGGGGAUCGAACAGGAUUAGAUACCCCUGUAGUC